GAUAAAAUUGAGAAUGGAAAUGGGGAAUGUGUCAAAGAGACAACAACCCGACCAAAUAAAAAACAACAGCAGAGGGUCACCAACUAGGUCUUCAAUGUAGCGAGAAAUUCCCGCACCCGGAGGCGUCCUUCAGCUGACCCCUAAACAAAUAUAUACUAGUCCAGUGAUAAUGAACGCCAUACUAAUUUCCAAAUUGUACACAAGAAAAUAAAAUUAAAAUAAUACAAGACUAACAAAGGCCAGAGGCUCCUGACUUG
rnacentral:lncRNA from 1 species